rnacentral:lncRNA from 1 species
GGAGAACAUUGAUCCCUGAGUCGGUAACACGACUAUGUCUCUACUCUUCUGGCCAAAUGUCUGCUGAGAAUAUUCAUCCCUAUUUGGCUCUAUGCUUCCUCUAGUUAAAUGCCUGGUCCUUGGCCAUCUGACCCGUGCCUUCCUGAAACUCCUGGGACUUCCCAGUUGCAGAAUGGAAAGGACUCGUGUCCAUCACUGCCCUCAGGCCCUGAGCGCUCUCUCGCGUUGUGUCGCUCCUCUGCACACCCACCUCCUCGUGGCCGUCACUGCCCUCAGGCCCUGAGUGCUGUCUCGCAUUGUAUCACUCCUCUGCACAUACACUCCUCUGCACACACACCUCCUCGUGUCCGUCACUGCCCUUAGGCCCUGAGUGCUGUCUCGCGUUGUGUCGCUCCUCUGCGCACACACCUCCUCGUGUCCGUCGCUGCCCUCAGGCCCUGAGCGCUGUCUCGCGUUGUGUCGCUCCUCUGCACACACACUCCUCUGCACACACACUCCUCUGCACACACACCUCCUUGUGGCCGUCACUGCCCUCAGGCCCUGAGUGCUGUCUUGCAUUGUGUCGCUACUCUGCACACACACCUCCUUUGGCCUGGCUCCUAGCCUUCCUCCCACCUCUCUGUCUCUCGUUUGUUUCUUUGGCUGCCUUCUCCUUCUUUCGCCCUGCUUCUCAGGUUCCAUGCCCUGCCUCCAACUUGUCUCUACACUCUAACUGGGAGAUCUCAAAAUCUGUGAUUUCACUUAACACCAGGAUGCCCACAAGUCACCAGGCCAGGCCUGUUUCCUGGGCUUCAGACACUUCAACAAGGCCUCCCUCUGGCCCUUCAAGUUCAGCACGUCAAAACUGA